CAAGAACUUCAAUUGGGAUGCCAUGAUUGAUGAUUUGGAAGAAACCCCACUUGUUUGCUGCUUCUUGAAUUGAUUUUUCAACAUUUAAAUCAUCAAAAUUUGACAAAUCAAUUGUGGGGAUUGAUUCUUGAUUGUCAAUUUGAGAUUUGUCUAGUCUUUGUUCUUUUGGUUGAAUGCAUUGAUUUGGAAUAAUUUCAAGGCUUGUGUCUGCUAUGCCUUUUAGUCCAUUUGCUUUCUUGAUUACAAAAUCAAAUAUGUCAUCAUUUGGUUCAAAUUUUGAAGAAGGCAUUUGUGUUGAAUAUUGAUAAGUGUGUACUAAUGGAAGAAGGAAAUUUGUGGGGCUUUUUUAUGGUGGCUUUGAGAGGAGUGUGUGUGGGUGGUUGGGGAUUGGCUAUGAAAUGAUGAAAGAUUGAAUCAUUCUUUCAUCUAGCAACGAUGGGUUAUGGAGGAGUAGUAAAUAUUUUUCAUCAUUAAUCAAAUGGCUUGAAUUCAAUUUUUUCUGAAUAUAUAGUCGUCUUUGUUAAUUAGAGGAGCGUAUUACCUCUCAAUAUGAAACUUUUUGAUGCGAAUUCAAAUUUAGUUAGACUCAAUAUGAAUAUUGAAAAAAAAUCACUCCUUCUAAUAAUUCUUGAAUUGAUUUUUUUAUUUAGUAUUUCAAUUUUUUAUUUUUAUUUUAUGCUUAAUCAAACAUCAUCAUCAUAAAAUAGUUAUUUGAAAAUUGGUGAUGUGGCUUCUUGAUGUCCAAAUGCAUGAAUAACGAAAUUUGUAUAUUAUAUCCAUAAAAAUUAUCAGUUAAAAAUAGUAUAAUUUAUUAAUUUUUUUUGUAGUAUUUACAUAGUAUAUGAUAAAUCAAAUUAUGAAAAAGUGACUACUCUUUAUUUUCCUUUAAUUAGUGGCUUCAAUGAUUUUAUAAAAAAUCUUGUUUUAUCAUUUCUUUUCUUUGACAUUUUUAAAACGUUAUAAUUGUUCUGUCUCCGUACCCCCCCACCCCACACCCCACCCACCUCGACACUGAAGUCUGACGCGCGAAUCACGAGUUUUUGAACACGUCAUAUAAUUUUUUAUAAAUUUGUUAGAACAAUUAAAUUAUUACUUCAUUCUAUUAUUUUAAGGGAGUGGGGUUGCGGUAUAUGGAUGAUAUAUAUUAACGACCCAAACAAAAAUUUUGAAUUAAUUUUUUAUUUAAUAUUUUAAUUUUAUGUAUAAUCAAACAUCAUUAUCAUCAUAAAAAAGUAGCUUGGUGAGAUGGCUUCUUGGUGUCCAUGUGGAUGAAUUGUGAUUUGUUUGAAUAACAUCCACAUCUUUGUUGUCAAGUUGUCAAUUGUCAUGAAUGAUGAAAUUUUUUACCAUAUAAAGUAAGUGGGAAUAGGUGAUUUACAAAAUUCUGUUAGUGUACAUAAGUUAAAACAGUGAAAAUGAAAAAAUUACAUUAAAGAUAAUAAAAAUUAUAAUAAUUAAUAAUUUAAAAUAUUUUAAUAUUAUAAAAAUAUAUAAUUAAUUGUGUUAAUUUUAUUCAUGUCAAAUAAAUUAAAACAAAUAAAUUAAUAUAUCACUGACUCCAAUAUCUAUAAAAAUUAUCAAUAAAAAUAGUAUCAUUGUAACACCCCUGAUUUCAAGAUUAUUUAUUGUCUUACGUUGCAGGCUAAGAGCCAAAGUGGAGAGUCCUCUUGUGUGUUGUUGUCUAAUACAAAUAUUAGCUAAUUAUUUUGAAUUAAUAUAAGAAAAAUUAAAUAGCUAAUUUAAAAAUAUACUUAAAAAACACUAAUUUAUUUAUAAAACUCUAAAUUAAAAGAAACAUGUAUUUUUUUUAUAAAUUUUCUUUCCUUUUGAAUAAAUUGAAAAUAAAACUUUGCUUAAAAUGCUAAGGUUUCCCAUGAAAACCAACGUGUUUGAUCUCCACGUCAUGAAUAUAGUAUAGAGGGUACCUUUGGAAAUGAAUUCAUGACUAGUAGAGGCACUUCAGACUCCAAACAACACCCUAAGAGUUUCACCACGUUUUUUUUAAAGUGUAAAAUAGAAUUAUUAAAUUAUAAGAAAGGGCAAGAUAAAGAAAAAAUAAAUAAAUAACGGACACGAUUACACCAAAUUGCAAGUUACAUAAAAUAACAGUUUUCAUCAUUACAAUAACAUAUUUAUAAUAAAAAAACAUUAACAUACAAGAACUUUGAAAUAAAGCAUCAAAUUUUAGCAAAAUCUAGUGAUGCUUUACCAGAAGGCCUCUUAAUGAAGCAAUGAUCCCAAUAAUCAGAGAACAAAAUAUGUUUGUACACUGGUUUUUCUCCAUCUUUUAGUAUUUGUGGGAAUGGACCAAUGACACUAUCAAAACUAGGAUUCACGAAUAGCGGUAUGGAUAUUCGAGCCCUGCUCGAAUCAACAGCUACACAAUGCUCGAUACUCUUGUAUCGAUCAUUGCUCAUGAUCUGCAAUGAGUCACCUAUAUUAACCGCUAAGGCGCCUUUGAUAGGAUUUACGUGGAUCCAGUUGUCUUUAGUUCCUCGAACAUAUAAGCCUCCCGUGUCGUUUUGGAGGAGCAAAGUUAUGCAGUCCAUGUCGCAGUGUCUACGAAAACCAAUGGCGAUACUUGGAUUUGGGCAUGGUGGAUAGUAGUUGAUGUUUAUAGACAUAGUUCCCAUCAAGAGAGGUUCUAAAGAUUCGUCAAUUUCAUUGACAUUGAGACCCUUCAAUAGCACCUCAAGCAAUUUUUUAGCAAGUGGUUUAACCCACUUUUUAUACUCCAAAACUUGGUCCCUAUAAAUCAAUAACAAAGUCAGGAAUUUUGCUAAGAGCAUUCAGAGUUUAAUGGGAAGGUCAAUUUUUUUGCUAAUAACGUUCAAGAUUCCAUGUCAAAGUUAAGAAUUUCACUAAAAAUGUUUCGAGAGUUUAUAAAAAAUAAACCCUCCUUAUGUUGCUAAGACAAAGGAAGAAUUUGUGUAUAUCCUACCCUUUACAUACUCUACUUGUGAGAUUAUACUGGAUAUGUAAGCGUAUAAAAGAUAACUUUUCUCCUACAUAUACAAUAUACUUUUGAUUUAAGUUAUAGAGUACCAUUAUAAAAUCUUGAGAUAAUUUUGUGUUCAACCACUUAAUCUAGUUAGUUUUUAAAUAUGUUUUGAUAAAUAGUUGGUGAUAGUUCAGAAAUGCAAACACCUCCCAAAAAGUAAUACUACUUGAAAACCUGUGACCUAUUGAUUAUACAGAGUAGAAAACCCCAAAAAGUUACCUUGUUUGAGGAGGCCAAAGAUUGCUAUCAUUUUGUGGAUUACAACCAUGUCUUAUAGUAUCCCUCCACUCCAAAACUUUCUCAUCUUUCUCACCAAUAGCACUCCAAAACAUCAACACAGAUUCACCAGGACUAACUUUUUCUUUAUGAUACUUAACUUUUUCUUCAGCUGGCAAUUCAAAGAAUUUGUGUGCUGCAUCCUUCAAAUUUUCAAGUACCUCAAUUGGGAUCCCAUGAUUGAUGAUUUGGAAGAAACCCCACUUGCUUGCUGCUUCUUGAAUUGAUUUUUCAACAUUUAAAUCAUCAAAAUUUGAUAAAUUAAUUGUUGGGAUUGAUUCUUGAUUGUCAAUUUGAGACUUGUUUAGUCUUUGUUCUUUUGGUUGAAUGCAUUGAUUUGGGAUAAUUUCAAGGUUUGUGUCUACUAGGCCUUUUAGUCCAUUUGCUUUCUUGAUUACAAAAUCAAGUAUGUCAUCAUUUGGUUCAAAUUUUGAAGAAGACAUUUGUGUUGAAUCUUGAUGAGUGUGUACUAGUGGAAGAAGGAAAUUUGAGGUUUUUUUAAUGGUGGAUUUGAGGGGGUGUGUUGGGGGGGCGGGGGAGAAGGGGGGUUUGCUAUGGAAUGAUUUAAGAUUGAAUCAUUACUUCAUCUAGCAACGAGGGGGUUGUGAUGGAGUGCUAAAUAUUUUUUCAUUUUUAAUCAAAUAUUUUGGAUUCAAUUUUUUCUGAAUAUAGAGUGUUUUACCUCUCAGUAUGAGACUUUUCAAUGUAAAUUCAAAUUUAUUUGGAUUCAGUUUAUCAUAAAAUUUAUUUUCAUAGCUAUUUGAAAAUCGAUGAGGUGGCUUUUUGGUAUCAUAUAAAUGAAUUGUGGUUGGUUUGAAUAACAUUCACAUCCUUUUGAAAUUCGUGCUCUCUAUUAUAUCCAUAAAAAAAUAUCAGUAAAAAUAGUAAUAUUAUAAUUUAAUACUUUAUUUUGCUUUUAAUAUUAUAAUUUUAUAGCUAUAAAUUAUUAUGACAAUUCAGAAGAUUUGCUUGGGAUAUAUACCGAAUGUGUAUUAUUAUUUUUUGGAAUAAGUUUUUGAAAGUCUUAUAAAAGCAGUACCACUUAAAUCUGUUAGAAGGAAAAAUUUCAUAUGCUUGAGUACAUUUCCUUAUACAUUACUAAAUCUUCUUCAUGCUUGUGUUCUUCGUUUGCUAGAAAAUGGGUCCAUUAAUUUGCCUCUCUCCAGACGUAUUAGAUAGUGUCAAAUGUGAAAAAGUUAAAUUUCACCAAAUGCUCAAAAUUCAAGAAAUGUGAAAUUAUACACUAAUUUAUAAUGAGUAAAAGGCCAAAAACUGCAUUUUAAAAUAUAUCAACACUGUUUAUUAACGAGUUGAGCUAGUAAAUAAAUGGAUCAAUGAUCAGGUUAAACUUGGAUGGAUUUGAUGGAUCAUAUUUUCAUGACUAAGUUUUUGUUGUUAGGGUGAACUUUAGUAGAAUUUACGUAGUAUUUGAUAGUCAAAACUCGACAUUUGAUACUAGUUUUCGUAUUGAGAGACUACCUAUCACAAUCUUUGAUGAUUGGGGGGUUUCGUCACCCUAUAUUGAUACCAGUCUUAGGAGUGAAAGUAAAUUCAUUCCAAACUCGAAAUCUAUAGUUGAUGAUGGAGAUAGUUACUACCGGUCACAAUCUUAGAAAAUGAUAAGCGGCAUUUAAGUAGGUGUCCCCCCCCCCCCCCUCCUCAUUUUGUAUUCAGUAUCCUCUUCAAAACUGAAUGUAAAUUUAUUUCUAAAUUCGAGAUCUCUAAUUGAAGGCGGAUUUAGCAAGGGCCCCCCCCCCCCCCCUCCUCAUUUUGUAUUCAGUAUCCUCUUCAAAACUGAAUGUAAAUUUAUUUCUAAAUUCGAGAUCUCUAAUUGAAGGCGGAGAUAAUUACUACCCAUCACGAGUACAUGUUUUUUCUUAUUGUAUAUUCGGUAUCCACUUUUAAGAAAAUACAUUUUUUAAAUUAUAGAGUUCAAAUUUAAAAUUGUCAUAGUGUUACACACCAACAAUUCAAUGAAUGAACUUACAUUAUUCAGUGCGGACUCAAAAUUUUAUAUAAGUGAGUUCAACCAUAGGAUGAUCGUCGAUAGUGUAAGCAACAUCAAGCACAACAAAUGAUUUGCUCUUUGUGCUUUUAUUUAUUCUUUUUUUAAUAAUUUAAUAUCAAAAUAAGAUAUAUAGUUUUUUUUAGAAAAACUCGGCACUUUUUAAUUAUUUAACAAAGUUGAGGAAUUUAUUUUAAAAAAAAUCUAUUUACAUUUAAAAAAACAAAAAACAAAAAACAAAAUUAGAGUUAACUAAGAAACUAUAUAUAAUCUCAUCAAAAUAACAAAUUAUAGCAAAAAACUAAGAAAGACACUACAAAAAUUCAAUUAUAAAUGAUUAAAUGUUUUUAGAAGUAAAACAGAUUUAAGAUUUUUAUCGAGUUUGAGUAAGAAGACAAAAUAUACAACAUAAAAUUUAAAAAUAAAAUAAAAUAUAUUGGUGAUAAAUUUAUUAGUGACUAGCAUAUUGAAUAUGAUUGGUCAAUUUUUUUUAUAGGCCAAUUUGGCUACUGAAUAUGAAUACACAGUGAUAUUGAACCAAAAGCAGUAACAUGCCACACUUUGUUCAUUGUGGGUUUAAAUAUAUAAUUAUACUAAUUUAACAUUAAUUCUCCUUAUAUAAAUAAUAAAUUUUCCAACCGAGUGGGUUCAACAUGUGGGUCCACCCCUGACAUUAUUACAUUGAAAAAAAAAUAUGGGGGAAAGUUAUUAUAAACAAAAAGUAGGAUGAAGGGCAAAAUAAGAUUAUGAAAUCAUUAGAACAAAAUAAGAUAACAAUACAAUCACACAAACUCACCGGUUACAUAAAGAAAUACUUUUUGACAUUGCAUAACAAAGAAAUUUGUGAAUUAAAACAUCAAAUUUUAGCAAAAUCUAGUGAUGCUUUACCAGAGGGCCUCUUACUGAAGUAAUGAUCCCAAUAAUCAGAGAACAAAACAUGUUUGUACAUUGAUUUUUCUCCAUCUUUGAGUAUUUGUGGGAAUGGACCAAUGACACUAUCAGGGCUAGGAUUCACAAAUAGCGGUACAGAUAUUCGAGCCCUGCUAGAAUCAACUGCUACACAAUGCUCGAUACUUUUGUAUCGAUCGUUGCUCAUGAUCUGCAACGAGUUACCUAUGUUAACCGCCAAGGCACCUUUGAUAGGAUUUACGUGAAUCCAGUUAUCACCUUUAGUCCCUUGGACAUAUAGGCCUCCCGUGUCGUCCUGGAGGAGCAGAGUUAUGCAGGACAUGUCGCAGUGUCUACGAAAACCAAUGGCGAUACUUGGAUUUGGACAAGGUGGAUAGUAGUUUAUAUUGAUAGCCAUAGUUCCCAUCAAGAGAGGUUCUAAAGAUUCAUCAAUUUCAUUGACAUUGAGACCCUUCAAUAGCACCUCAAGCAAUUUUUUAGCAAGUGGUGUAGCCCACUUUUGAUACUCCAAGACUUGAUUCCUGUAAAACAGUAUCAAAGUCAGAAAUUUCACUAAGAGUGUUCAAAAUUUAAUGGUAAGAUCAAGAAUUUUGCUAAUAAUGUUCAAGAUUCAAUGUCAAAGUCAUAAAUUUUUCUAAGAAUGUUUCAAGAGUCUAUAAAAACAACCUCUUUAUGUAGUAAAGAUAGAGGUAAAGUCUACGUAUAUCCUACCCUCUCCAUACUCUACUUGUGAGAUUAUAGUGGAUAUGUAAUUGUAAAAAAGAUAUAUGUACACCGUUAUAAAAAAAGUCUUGAGAUAAUGAUAAAAAACACAUCUGAAGUAUCACGUUUUCACGAGUUUUCUUUCCUAUAUGGACUAUCAUCAAAAUUACUUUGCCAUUUGGACAAAAUUCUAUGGGCAAAUUAAGUUGUGACGCACUGUAUUCAAACACUUGAUCUAGUCAGUUUUGGAAUGUGUUUUGAUAAAUAGUUGGUGAUAGUUCAGAAACACAAACACCUUAUAGUAAAAGAUAUGAAACUCGCAAAAGUAAUACUUGGAAACUUGUGACCUAUAAAUUACAUGGAGCAGAAAACCCCAAAAAGUUACCUUGUUUGAGGAGGCCAAAGAUUGCUAUCAUUUUGUGGAUUACAACUAUGUCUUAUACCAUCCCUCCACUCUAAAACUUUUUCAUCUUUCUCACCAAUAGCACUCCAAAACAUCAACACAGAUUCACUAGCAUUAUAGCUCUCUUUGUUAUACUUAACUUUUUCUUCAGAUGGCAAUUCAAAGAAUUUGUGUCCUGCUUCCUUUAAAUCAUCAAGAACUUCAAUUGGGAUGCCAUGAUUGAUGAUUUGGAAGAAACCCCACUUGCUUGCGGCAUCUUGAAUUGAUUUUUCAACACUUAAAUCAUCAAAAUUUGAUAUAUCAAUUGUUGGGAUUGAUUCUUGAUUGUCAAUUUGAGAUUUUUCUAGUCUUUGGUCUUUUGGUUGAAUACAUUGAUUUGGGAUAUUUUCAAGGCCUGUGUCUACUAGACCUUUUAGUCCAUUUGCUUUCUUGAUUACAAAAUUAAGUAUGUCAUCAUUUGGUUCAAAUUUUGAUGAAGGCAUUUGUGUUGAAUCUUGAUGAGUGUGUACUAAUGAAAGAAAGAAAUUUGGGGUUUUUUUUAGCUGUGGGUUUGAGAGGGGUGUGUAUGGGGGGAGAGGAAAGAAGGGGAGUGGACUAUGAAAUGAUGAAAGAUUGAAUCAUUACUUUAACAUCGAUGGGUUAUUAUAAAGUGGUAAAUACUUUUUCGUCUUUAAUCAGAUGUUUUAGAUUCAAAUUUCCUGAAUACAAAAUUGACUUAUUUAAAAAACAUCCUCUUAAUAUGAGACUUUUUGGUGCGAAUUCAAAUUUCAUUGGACUCAAUAUGAAUAUCAAACCUCCGAUGAUAAAAAAAUAAAUAUUAUUCCUUCUUCUAUUAUUUCAAGGGAGGGUGGGGCAAAAGGGGGCUGGCUAUGAAAUGAUGGAAGAUUGAAUCAUACUUUCAUCUAGCAACGAGAGAUUAUAGUGAAGUGGUAAAUAUUUUUCAUUUUUAAUCAAAUGUCUUGUAUUCGAAUUUUUCCAAAUACAAUAUUGUUCUUAUUAGAGAUUGUUUUACUUUUCAAUAUAAGACUUUUCGGUGCAAAUUCAAUUUUAGUUAGACUCAAUAUGAAUAUCAAAUAUCGAAUGAUUAAUCUAUUAUUUGAAGGUAGUAGGGAUGGGAUAUGUGGAUGAUAUAUUAAUGACCUAAACAAAAUUCUUGAAUUGGUUUUUUAUUUAGUAUUUUGAAUUUUUAUUUUUUAUUUAAUCAAACAUCAUUAUCAUAAAAUAGCUAUUUGGAAAUUGGUGAGGUGGCUUCUUGAUGUCCAUGGGUGAAUUGUGGUUCGUAGAUAACAUCCAAAACUUUUUUUGUCGGUUGUUAUGAAUGAUGAAUUUUGUAUAUUAUAUCCAUAAAAAUUAUCAGUAAAAAUAGAUAUAAUUUAAUUUUCUUAUUUACUUUUCAUAGUAUAACUUUUAUAGCUAUAAAUUUGAUGGAGACAUAUAUUAAAUGUGAAUUAUAUUUUUUACUAAGUAGGAAAAAGCUUUAAACAGUCUUUUAAAAGCACUACCACUUAAAAAAUUCAAAUGUUUAGUGUCCUUCAUUUGCUAGAAAAUGCACCUAUUUGCCUCUCUCUAAAUAAAUGUGUUUGAUAAUGUCAAAAGUUAAAAUGUACAAAAAAAAAUCAACUAUGCCAAAUGCUCAAAAUUCAAGAAAUAUGGAAUUAUACACUAAUUUAUACAAGUUAAAUUGUAAAGAACAAAAUAAUAAGGGGAAUUACAUUCUGCAACAUAUCAGCCUAGUCUUUUAAUGAGUUGAAAUGAGUAAAUAGACGAACCAAUGACUAGGCCAAACUUGGACGGAUUUGACGAAUCGUAUUACUAGAACCAAUGACUAGGCCAAACUUGGACGGAUUUGACGAAUCAUAUUUUCAUGAAUGUAACAUACAAGUUAGGACACAAAUGCAGGCCAUACACAAGUAAUUGAUCACCGAGGACUAUGAAUUUGUAACAUCAUCCGACUAUCCAAGCUCUGUUGUCCUGAGAAUUCUCCGUUAGACAUGAAGUUCGUGUUCAUAUUGAUCGCGUAAAGGUCCAAUGUUUGUUCUGUAAUUAAUCCAAGACUCUCCUCAUCUUGACAUUGUUGAGUUUUAGACCAUGGAUGUUUUGUGAACUUCCUUAGUCCUUCUAGCUCCAUGGCUACUUCUUUCAUCGUAGGCCUUUCUUCACUCGUUAACCUUAAACAUCUCUUCGCGAGCUCAGCAACACCUUGACAUUGCUCAAAACUUCCUUCUCGUAGCACACGUGAUUCAAGUACUUGAAACAAUCGAUUUUCCUUAAUAGACCUAACGAAAAAUGCAGCUAGAUUUCUCUCUUGUUCGGAUGCUGUAGUAUCUAGUGGCAUUCGCGCUGUUAAGAGCUCUGCAAGAACCACGCCAAAACUAUAAACGUCACUCUUUUCUGUCAAUUGACUUGUGUGGAAGUAUUCAGGAUCUAAGUAACCUAAAGUUCCUUGAACCAAUGUAGUCACUUGAGUUUGAUCCAAUGACACUAAUCUAGAAGCCCCGAAAUCUGAUAUUUUUGCAGUGUAACUCUCAUCGAGUAGAAUGUUUGUAGACUUCACAUCUCAAUGAAUUACAGGUGUAGAAGCUGCAGAAUGUAGAUAUGCGAGUGCACCAGCAGCUUCAGAUGCUAUUCUUAAUCGAUUUUCCCAUGAAAACCAACGCAUUUGAUCUCCACCAUCAUGAAUAUGGUAAUAGAGUGUACCUUUGGAAAUGUAUUCAUAGACUAGUAGAGGUACUUCAGACUCCAAACAACACCCCAAGAGUUUCACCACGUUUCGAUGAUUGACUUCUGAAAGAAUGAUCACUUCAUUGAUGAACAAUUCUAUUUGGAUGACGUCCAUUGUUCUAGACUUUUUAAUUGCAACUACACGUUUGUCCGGAAGGACACCUUUGUAAACUGUACCAUAACCACCUCGGCCUAGGAUACGAUCCUCAGCAUAGUUGUUGGUUGAUUUCUCGAGUUCUGCUGCUGUAAAGAUCUUAGCUGCAUACUGUAUACCACCCUCAUUUGAUCGGAGUUUCUGCGUGAGCAUCAAUCCACCAUUUUUCUGAAAAAACGUUUCCCUGAGUCUUAUGAGUCGUCAUCUUUUGAUGCCUAAGUAUAUCCAAGUUACACUGAUGACCAAAGCCAGAAAACCAAAGCACAAACCUGCAAUGAAAGUGCAACUUUAGUUUACUCUUAACCGUUUUCACUUUAUAUGAAGGUGUUUGACUGGACACACAGAGUAGAGUAGACGUACUGAUUGAGAGUUGAAGGAUGGGUGAUUUAGAGUUCUUAGGGAUGCAACCGUGGCCGUCCUUUUUUCCAUCACCAAUCUGACCAUGUGGACAAGUGCAGCUGUAGCCUCCAGGAAAGUUAUUGCAUAUUCCAUCACAAGGAUUCUCGUUCUCGCAUUCAUUUAUAUCUGUCAAUUAAUCAAACAUCAGAACGUAAAGAGGUUGUUUCUGAUAGACCCUCGGCUCAAAUGCAACACUAACCAACACAUAUAACAUCAUUCGAACAAAGUAACUUUGGCUCAAACCUUACUAAACAAGCACAAAUCGUAGAUUCCUAACCAAGUUACGACAAUUUCAAACUCGAACACAAAAAGUUCAAAUCAUGAAUUCAGUCUUACCUAUGCAACCUGGACUGAUAUAAGGGUUCCCCUGGUAUCCCGGUUUGCAGUUGCAACGAUAACCUCCGAGGCCUGUCUUAGAAUCUACACAAACACUAUUUUCUCCACAAGCAUAAUCUGCUGAUUUCUUAGCCACAGUGCAACUACCAUUGCCAAUAACCCAAUCAAUCACCACAGGGACUUCCUCUAUAACCUUGUUCCUGAAACUCGAAUUUGAUAAAUCCGAGCUCUUGAAAAUGAACUUAUCAGGCUCACCAAGAAACAAGUAGCCACAAGGGUUAAAAGAAGACACAUUUGUAUGGUUAUUCAAACUCCUUGUUAGACUCACAAAACUCUUCAAACCUGUUGGGAUUGAAGUCUGGCAACAUCCAAUUCCUGAGCAAUAUCCUUCAAUUAUAUCCUCUUUUUUCGCGCAUAGUGAAAUGCAUCCACUAGUAAAGUUCCUCCCUUCAUAGCCGAGAAUGAGAGCUAAGUCAUCGCAGCCAACUACCAUCAAACUAUUGAGAUCAGAGAAGGAGAAAGACGUCAAUCCCAAGCUAAAGUUUAUCGAGUCAUCAUUGAUCAAGACCCCUGCUUGAUCAUAACACCUACUCCCAACAUUGUUCUUAAAAUAAGAAAGGGCAAGAUAAAGAAAAAAUAAAUAAAUAACGGACAGGAUCACACCAAAUUGCAAGUUACAUAAAAUAACAGUUAUCGUCAUUACAAUAACAGAUUUAUAAUACAAAAACAUUAACAUACAAGAAAUUUGAAAAUUAAAGCAUCAAUUUUUUGCAAAAUCUAGUGAUGCUUUACCAGAAGGCCUCUUAAUAAAGCAAUGAUCCCAAUAAUUAGAGAACAAAAUAUGUUUGUACACUGGUUUUUCUCCAUCUUUUAGCAUUUGUGGGAAUGAACCAAUGACACUAUCAAAACUAGGAUUCACGCAUAGCGGUACAGAUAUUCGAGUCCUGCUCGAAUCAACUGCUACACAAUGCUCGAUACUCUUGUAUCGAUCAUUGCUCAUGAUCUGCAAUGAGUCACCUAUAUUAACCGCUAAGGCACCUUUGAUAGGAUUUACGUGAAUCCAGUUGCCUUUAGUCCCUCGGACAUAUAGGCCUCCUGUGUCGUCCUGGAGGAGCAAAGUUAUGCAGCCCAUGUCGCAGUGUCUACGAAAACCCAUGGCGAUACUUGGAUUUGGGCAUGGUGGAUAGUAGUUGAUGUUUAUAGACAUAGUUCCCAUCAAGAGAAGUUCUAAAGAUUCGUCAAUUUCAUUGACAUUGAGACCCUUCAAUAGCACCUCAAGCAAUUUUUUAGCAAGUGGUUUAACCCACUUUUGAUACUCCAAAACUUGGUUCCUAUAAAUCAAUAACAAACUCAGGAAUUUUAUUAAGAGCAUUAGUGUUUAAUGGGAAGGUCAAAUUUUUCUCUAAUAACGUUCAAGAUUCAAUGUCAAAGUUAAGAAUUUCACUAAGAAUAUUUCGUAAGUCUAUAAAAUCACAACCUCCUUAUGCUGCUAAGACAGAGGUAAAAUAUGCGUAUAUUCUACCCUCUCCAUACUCUACUUGUGAGAUUAUACUAGAUAUGUAAUCGUAUAAAAGAUAACUUUUCUCCUACAUAUACGAUAUACUUUUGAUUUAAGUUAUAAAAACCAUUAUAAAAUCUUGAUAUAAUUUUGUAUUCAACCACUUAAUCUAGUUAGUUUUUAAAUAUCUUUUGAUAAAUAGUUGGUGAUAGUUCAGAAACGUCAAGCACCUCCCAAAAAGUAAUACUACUUGAAAACCCGUGACCUAUUGAUUACACAGAGUAGAAAACCCCAAAAAGUUACCUUGUUUGAGGAGGCCAAAGAUUGCUAUCAUUUUUGUGGAUUACAACCAUGUUUUAUACUAUCCCUCCACUCCAAAACUUUCUCAUCUUUCUCACCAAUAGCACUCCAAAACAUAAACACAGAUUCACCAGGACUAACUUUUUCUUUAUGAUACUUAACUUUUUCUUCAGCUGGCAAUUCAAAGAAUUUGUGUGCCGCAUCCUUCAAAUCUUCAAGAACUUCAAUUGGGAUGCCAUGAUUGAUGAUUUGGAAGAAACCCCACUUGCUUGCUGCUUCUUGAAUUGACUUUUCAACAUUUAAAUCAUCAAAAUUUGAUAAAUCAAUUGUUGGGAUUGAUUCUUGAUUAUCAAUUUGGGACUUGUCUAGUCUUUGUUCUUUUGGUUGAAUGCAUUGAUUUGGGAUAAUUUCAAGGUUUGUGUCUACUAGGCCUUUUAGUCCAUUUGCUUUCUUGAUUACAAAAUCAAGUAUGUCAUCAUUUGGUUCAAAUUUUGAAGAAGACAUUUGUAUUGAAUCUUGAUGAGUGUGUACUACUGGGAG
rnacentral:lncRNA from 1 species